GGCCCAGAUCGUUUACCGUGAAAAAAUUAGAGUGUUCAAAGCAGGCAGAUCCAAUUUUCUGCCACCGAAUACAUUAGCAUGGGAUAAUGGAAUAGGACCCUGUCCUCCUAUUUUCAGUUGGUUUGCCGCGAGGACCAGGGUAAUGAUUAAUAGGGAUAGUUGGGGGCAUUAAUAUUUAAUUGUCAGAGGUGAAAUUCUUGGAUUUAUGAAAGAUUAACUUCUGCGAAAGCAUCUGCCAAGGAUGUUUUCAUUAAUCAAGAACGAAAGUUAGGGGAUCGAAGACGAUCAGAUACCGUCGUAGUCUUAACCAUAAACGAUGCCGACCAGCGAUUAGGAGACGUUGAAUACAAAACACCACCAUGCGCAUUGCGGUCGUCUUUGGUGUCGCUCACAAGGCGGCACCGGGGCGGCUUAGCUCGCAUGGCACCGGUGAAUGACUCCCCUAGCAGCUUGUGAG
rnacentral:rRNA from 1 species